rnacentral:rRNA from 1 species
CAGUAGCCGCGGGAAUACGUAGGUGGCAAGCGUUGUCCGGAAUUAUUGGGCGUAAAGGGCUCGCAGGCGGUUUCUUAAGUCUGAUGUGAAAGCCCCCGGCUCAACCGGGGAGGGUCAUUGGAAACUGGGAAACUUGAGUGCAGAAGAGGAGAGUGGAAUUCCACGUGUAGCGGUGAAAUGCGUAGAGAUGUGGAGGAACACCAGUGGCGAAGGCGACUCUCUGGUCUGUAACUGACGCUGAGGAGCGAAAGCGUGGGGAGCGAACAGGAUUAGAUACCCCAGUAGUCCCUGUCUCUUAUCA